CGGCAAUGGGCGCAAGCCUGACCGAGCGACGCCGCGUGGAGGACGAAGGCCUUCGGGUUGUAAACUCCUGUCGAGGGGGAACAAGGUGCCGUGAAGAGCGGUGCUUGAGUGAUCCCUGGAGGAAGCACGGGCUAAGUUCGUGCCAGCAGCCGCGGUAAGACGAACCGUGCGAACGUUAUUCGGAAUCACUGGGCUUAAAGCGCGUGUAGGCGGCCCGGCACGUCCGUCGCUGAAAUCCCCCGGCUCAACCGGGGAAGUGGCGUGGAUACGACCGGGCUGGAGGGGGGUAGGGGGAGCCGGAACUUCCGGUGGAGCGGUGAAAUGCGUUGAGAUCGGAAGGACGCCCGUGGCGAAAGCGGGCUCCUGGACCCCACCUGACGCUGAGACGCGAAAGCCAGGGGAGCGAACGGGAUUAGAUACCCGUGUAGU
rnacentral:rRNA from 1 species